GAUGAACGCUGGCGGCGUGCUUAACACAUGCAAGUCGAACGAAGCACUUUAUUUGAUUUCCUUCGGGACUGAUUAUUUUGUGACUGAGUGGCGGACGGGUGAGUAACGCGUGGGUAACCUGCCUUGUACAGGGGGAUAACAGUUGGAAACGGCUGCUAAUACCGCAUAAGCGCCCAGCAUCGCAUGAUGCAGUGUGAAAAACUCCGGUGGUAUAAGAUGGACCCGCGUUGGAUUAGCUAGUUGGUGAGGUAACGGCCCACCAAGGCGACGAUCCAUAGCCGACCUGAGAGGGGGACCGGCCACAUUGGGACUGAGACACGGACCAAACUCCUACGGGAGGCAGCAGUGGGGAAUAUUGCACAGUGGGCGAAAGCCUGAUGCAGCGACGCCGCGUGAGCGAAGAAGUAUUUCGGUAUGUAAAGCUCUAUCAGCAGGGAAGAUAAUGACGGUACCUGACUAAGAAGCACCGGCUAAAUACGUG
rnacentral:rRNA from 1 species